rnacentral:lncRNA from 1 species
GUGAAAUGCAGCCCAUAUGGAGCAGGAGGGUCUCCCAGACUGACUUCCUCUACUAAAAUCCUCAAAGCGAUUCAUUUGCAAAAUCUUCCUAAUAAGUACCACGUGGAUUCCUGGAUACCUCUGGGAUCUUGACUCUGACCUGAAUUUAACAUACGAGUGUCCAGUAUAUCUGGGAUAUCACUGGAGCUCUAUGCAUUAGCCAAAGGUUAUGAGCCUUGUUCACCAAGACUACGGUCCAUGAAGGAGGCCAACCUGGUAGAGAUGAUCCCUGUGAGAUAAUGGAACAUUCACUCAAUAAAUCCCAGGCUCCAGAAGCAGAUGAGCCGGUGAGGAGAUGAGGAGACAAGCAGAUGAAUGGUGGAGUGACGCAGAAGAGAAAGAGAGAAGAGAAUGUUUGAUCACCAAGGGGAGUUCAGCUGGAGACGGUCGGAGAGGAGUUCAUUUGCUGGAUGGACAAACUCCAAGGGAAGAUCAUCUUCCCACUUCAUCCCCCCUUUCAGCUCCCUAGAGGUCCUGCUGACAGCCACCUCCACCACUCAAUAAAAGCCCGCAUUCAUCCUUCAAGCCUGUGUGUGACCCAAUUCUUCCAGGAUGCUGGGCAAGAGC